GGACAGUUGGGAGAGUUGGGAGAGGAGGAAUGAAGAUAGGUGGGAGAGGGGAGUUCAGGGACACGAUGGGGAACUGAGGAAAAGUUAGGAGGAGUCAGGGGAGGAGAAAGGAAAGAAGCGAGGAGAGAGUCGUCGUGGGAGAAGAAGAAGCUGGAUACUUGGCAAAUAAAAGGUGCAAGGGAUGAGGGAUUUGGGAGCUAGGAAUAGGACAGUGUAGGGUGGAUCUGCCCAAUCUAGACGCUGGAUUGUUUUCACAUUAAUUGAGGUGCGUUUUCUUUGUACGGGCUGAUUCGGGUUGGAGAGGAAACUUCAACAGUAGUGGAUCCAGGGACUGCUAACUGGGGGUAACUAUCUUCUUCAGAACUCCACUGCCCCAGUCUUGAGGACAGAAAGUAAAGAAACCAGAGGGAUGUGCCCAGCCUUCAUUGGUCCACUUCAGCUCUGACCUCAGAAGGAACCAUUGUGAGGUCAUUGACCUGCCCACUUAUAGCUCAGGCUGAGGCUGCCUCCUCUCCUUACACUGCAGUAGCUGUUGGUGAACCACUGCACUGGGAUCCUUGUGAAUUGUUCAGUCUGAACAUAGUGAGUUUUCUUCUACAUUCCUAUGUUUCAGCUGUUCCAUGACAACUCAGUCUCAUAUUUUGUGCCUACUGCUUUGGAAGAUGCUCUUCUUCUCUUCCCAAGCAUUCAAAGUAUCUAACUAGUUGUGGUUUUCCUGUUGACUGAUGUGCUGACCCCAGCAAGUGGCACCAAAGUGAAGGCUCAACUAUGGGGAAGGCAGAGAAGGACACCUCCUGGAAUGCUCAGGAAAAGUGAAAGUGUUGGCAGUGGUGAGUUUGACUACUUUAGACAUCUUAGUGAAGUUCCAUUCAACACAAACUGGCAACCCUAUAACAUGACCGUUGAUGGCUGUCCCAGCAUACAUGUAUCAUUAUCACCACAAUCUCUGGGCCCUCACAAAUGGAGGGAUGCAAGAUCAGGGGGGCAGGAACACAGGCCCAAUGCAGUUCUCCUCGACUCGGCAUCAGGACGUGGAGCAUCAGCAUCAGCAUCAUGGAUCUGGUCAAUCGCUGCUCCCACAUGGCCAAACAAAUGCUCUGAAAGCUACCUAGCCCUUUCAGCAUCCUGUGGAUAA
rnacentral:lncRNA from 1 species